UACGAAGGGUGCAAGCGUUACUCGGAAUUACUGGGCGUAAAGCGUGCGUAGGCGGUUUGUUAAGUCUGUCGUGAAAGCCCUGGGCUCAACCUGGGAAUGGCGAUGGAUACUGGCAAGCUAGAGUGCGGUAGAGGGUGGUGGAAUUCCCGGUGUAGCAGUGAAAUGCGUAGAGAUCGGGAGGAACAUCUGUGGCGAAGGCGGCCACCUGGACCAACACUGACACUGAGGCACGAAAGCGUGGGGAGCAAACAGG
rnacentral:rRNA from 1 species